UCAACUUCACGUUCUGGCGGCAAUUCAUUCACUUCUUCCGGAAACACAUCAGGAAAAUCACACACUACAGCUAGAUCGCCAAUUACCAGUUUAUCUUUAGCUUCCAAAGUCGCUAACAGCAUAAACAACUCUGCCCCAUCUGCCACUUCCUCAUUCACCUGCCUGGCUGAUAGAAACAAACUCUUUCCUUCUUCAAUCUCAGGAAAUAUCACAGUCUUAUCAAAACAGUUGAUAGAAACUCGGUU
rnacentral:lncRNA from 1 species